rnacentral:rRNA from 1 species
CCUACGGGAGGCAGCAGUGGGGAAUAUUGGGCAAUGGGCGCAAGCCUGACCCAGCAACGCCGCGUGAAGGAAGAAGGCUUUCGGGUUGUAAACUUCUUUUAUCAGGGACGAAGCAAGUGACGGUACCUGAUGAAUAAGCCACGGCUAACUACGUGCCAGCAGCCGCGGUAAUACGUAGGUGGCAAGCGUUAUCCGGAUUUACUGGGUGUAAAGGGUGUGUAGGCGGGAGUGCAAGUCAGAUGUGAAAACUAUGGGCUCAACCCAGAGCCUGCAUUUGAAACUGUACUUCUUGAGUGCGGGAGAGGCAAUCGGAAUUCCGGGUGUAGCGGUGAAAUGCGGAGAUAUAAGGAAGAACACCAGUGGCGAAGGCGGAUUACUGGACGAUAACUGACGGUGAGGCGCGAAAGCGUGGGGAGCAAACAGGAUUAGAUACCCUGGUAGUC